rnacentral:rRNA from 1 species
AGUGAACGCUGGCGGUAGGCCUAACACAUGCAAGUCGAACGGCAGCACAGUAAGAGCUUGCUCUUACGGGUGGCGAGUGGCGGACGGGUGAGGAAUACAUCGGAAUCUACUUUUUCGUGGGGGAUAACGUAGGGAAACUUACGCUAAUACCGCAUACGACCUACGGGUGAAAGCAGGGGAUCUUCGGACCUUGCGCGAUUGAAUGAGCCGAUGUCGGAUUAGCUAGUUGGCGGGGUAAAGGCCCACCAAGGCGACGAUCCGUAGCUGGUCUGAGAGGAUGAUCAGCCACACUGGAACUGAGACACGGUCCAGACUCCUACGGGAGGCAGCAGUGGGGAAUAUUGGACAAUGGGCGCAAGCCUGAUCCAGCCAGACCGCGUGGGUGAAGAAGGCCUUCGGGUUGUAAAGCCCUUUUGUUGGGAAAGAAAAGCAGCAGGUUAAUACCCCGCUGUUCUGACGGUACCCAAAGAAUAAGCACCGGCUAACUUCGUGC